CCGGGUUGUAAAGCACUUUUGUCCGGAAAGAAAACCUCUCGGUUAAUACCUGAGGGGGAUGACGGUACCGGAAGAAUAAGCACCGGCAACUACGUGCCAGCAGCCGCGGUAAUACGUAGGGUGCAAGCGUUGAUCGGAAUUACUGGGCGUAAAGCGUGCGCAGGCGGUUCGCUAAGACAGAUGCGAAAUCCCCGGGCUUAACCUGGGAACUGCAUUUGUGACUGACGGGCUAGAGUAUGGCAGAGGGGGGUAGAAUUCCACGUGUAGCAGUGAAAUGCGUAGAGAUGUGGAGGAAUACCGAUGGCGAAGGCAGCCCCCUGGGCCAAUACUGACGCUCAUGCACGAAAGCGUGGGGAGCAAACAGGAUUAGAUACCCUGGUAGUCCACGCCCUAAACGAUGUCAACUAGUUGUCGGGUCUUCAUUGACUUGGUAACGUAGCUAACGCGUGAAGUUGACCGCCUGGGGAGUACGGUCGCAAGAUUAAAACUCAAAGGAAUUGACGGGGACCCGCACAAGCGGUGGAUGAUGUGGAUUAAUUCGAUGCAACGCGAAAAACCUUACCUACCCUUGACAUGGUCGGAACCCUGCUG
rnacentral:rRNA from 1 species